AGAAGGGGUCUGCGCUCGGCGCGAGCGGGCGUUCCCGGGUCACUACGCUCCGCGGGUGCCCACGCCUGCCCUCUCCCCUCACGGCCUGCUCUCGGCGCCCCCCUCGCGUCCCUCCUGGGCCUCCUCUCUCUUUCCCCUCAGCCGCGUCUUCUUCCUCCCGCCCUUUCCCCGGAGUCUCGGUCACUGCUGGUGCCCUUGGGCGCGCGGAGCGUAGAAGGUGCGGUUCCCGGGUUCCCGGACUCCCGGCUCCGGCCGCCAGAGAGCAGCAAGCGCCUGGGAUUCUGCAGACUGCGGACUGGACUGCGCCUUGUCGCGGCGGGUCGCUUCCAGGGACUACCUGGCUACCUGGAUGGAUCUACUGCACUUCUCUCAAGGACAUCAAGGGCUCCAGACAUUGUGAAAGUUUCCCUUUACGUUACCAAGGGAGUCAGGAACAACACCGUAUGGACCCCUGUCUGGGUAGCGCAGAAAGAAGAGACUUCUUCCUAAAGGCUUCAGACACCUCCAAGGAAGCAGAGAGGAAAGGAUGGUGCUUUUCUUCAGCACAUAAUCAACAAAUGAUGUUUACAGUCCAAGAAGCACAACUCUGGAAGGUCACUGGAGCCCUGAGCGUGAUCUCCACUUCCUCCUGAGGCUCAGAGAAGCUGCUUGGGCAAUUGAUAGGAUCACUCUGAUGCCUUUUCAAGAGAUGCUAGUAACACUUCAAAGAUGUUGGGAUGCGGCAGUCACCCUUGAUAGGAGCAGGGAGAAGACCUGCUCCAGCUGCAGAGGCCAUGAAAUGUCACCUCUCACACGCCAUGGGAGGAAACCCAAGAAUGAAAACAUCUGGGAACCACCAUGAAGUAAAACAAAAAUGUUAGCACACUGUAUCAGUAGCCUAUGAAGAGGGGCAGGGGAGGAAACCCAGAUGAGAGAAACACUAGAGAAGGCUUGCAAUAGUGACAUUCUGCUCCUGCCACCUGUAGUAUAGAUGUUUCCUGAGAACUGAUUCAUGGUGUAGUCAUGUACACAGUUUAUGCUAAUUAGCAGAUUUAGUGCUGGAACAUUUAUCUUCUAAGCCUCUCUCUAUUAUGAUUAUUUACUGAAUAGGAAAAUAAACACAUUCCUUGAAGAACAUCGGGAUUUUCCCAUCACACAUUCACGUUUAUCUUCAUUUAAACUUACUAGGAGAGUGACAUCAGCAAAGGGGCAGCAUGGAAAGCUAACUUUCUCUAUCUCCUUCAAUCUAUAACCAGUAAAACAUCCACAACUCCAAAAAUAUGUUUCUGCCCAACACACCAGGACUCUGGAGAAUUCCCAUAUUUGUACUUCUAAAGGCUAGUGGACUUGAAUACAUAGAGGAGGCAGAACAGAGCAGAGGGGUGCCUGAAAUCCUGACCCUCUUACAACAGAAGCAGAGCCUCCAGCUUCUGAGAACCGGAUAGAGGUAUGUGACUCCAGCCUCCUGGUUGGAGGGUGCCCACGGCCAAAGGUAACUGGGCAGAAGUGGCAGUGGGGCUUGGAACUCUGUCCUUCCACCUCGGCCCACACCCCCACACCCCUCAUCUGCAGUGGUGGAGCCCACAAACCUUACAACACAAAAUGGUAGAGGAACCUGCACAACUAUAUUUGCCACCCCCACCCCACCCCCCGCCCCCAGCAGUGGUGGAAGAGCCUUUGACUCAGGGGAUCCUAGAUGAGAGGGAAAAGUCCACCAUCCUGGUGAUGACAGUGGCUCUGGCAGAAGCAAGUUAGCACCAAUCUCAGAGGCACAAUGCUUGAUAAGGAAGGCAUGAAGCUAUGAGUCAAACCUCUUACAGGGAUGGGAGAGGCUACAGAAAGUGCCAGCUCUCUAAAGUUGCAGCCAGGUAAGAGAAACUGAAAACUUGGGUUAUAGUGCCACCCACUGGGAAACAAAAGAAAGGAGUCUAACUUCUAAUUUUCAAUGUGCCCACAGCAGAACAAUUCAUUAAAAGCACCAUGAAGAACCACAGUAACACUAUACCACAAAAAGAAAAUGACUCUUCUCUAGAAGCCAAACUAAAUUCACAGAAUGUUGCAAUCUAACUGAUAGAGAGUAUAAAUAGUUGUCAUGAAGAAACUCAGCAAGCUAUAAGAAAACUCAAAAAGGCAGUUUAAUGAGCUCAGGAGUAAAAUUAAUGAAUAGAAGGAAUAUUUUACCAAAGAGAUUGAAACUUUAAAAAAAAAAGAACCAAACAGAAAUUCUGAAGCUAAAUAACUCAAUAAAUGUGAUCAAGGAGUUCCCAUCAUGGCCCAGUAGAAAUGAAUCUGACUAGGAACCAUGUGGUUUCGGGUUCGAUCCCUGGCCUCGCUCAGUGGGUUAAGGAUCUGAUGUUGUCCUAAGUGAUGUAGGUCGCAGAUGCGGCUUGGAUCUGAUGUUGCUGUGGCUGAUUGGACCCCUAGCCUGGGAAUUUCCAGGAAUCUCCAUUUAGUGUAGCCCUAAAAAUCAAAAAUAAAUAAAUAAUGUGAUCAAUAAUGCAUUGGGAAGCAUUGGAAAUAGAUCAGACCAUUUAGAAGAGAGAAUCAAUAAACUAAAAUACAGUAAUCUAAAAAUUAUAGAAGUAGAAGAGGAAACAGAAAUAAGAUUUUUUUUUAAAUGGUAAUGUUGGAGUUCCCGUCACAGCACAGUGGUUAAUGAAUCCGACUAGGAAACAUGAGGUUGCAGGUUCGAUCCCUGGCCUUGCUCAGUAGGUUAAGGAUCUGGCGUUGCUGUGAGCUGUGGUGUAGGUUGCAGACGUGGCUCGGAUCCCACAUUUCUGUGGCUCCAGCGUAGGCCGGUGGCUACAGCUCUGAUUAUACCCCUAGCCUGGGAAUCUCCAUAUGCUGUGGAAGUGGCUCUAGAAAAGGCAAAAAGAUAAAAAAAAAAUAAAAGUAAAAAUAAUAAAUAAAUGGUAAUGUUGGAGUUCCUGUCAUGGCUCAUCAGUUUAAGAACCUGACUAGUAUUCAUGAGGAUGAAGGUUUGAUCCCUGGCCUUGCUCCAUGGGUUAAGGAUCCAGCACUGCUGCAAGCUGCAAAGUAGGUCACCGAUGUGGCUAGGAUUUGGCAGUGCUGUGGCUCUGGCAUAGGCCAGCGACUAUGGCUCUGAUUUGACCCCUAGCCUGAAAACUUCCAUAUGCCUUAAAAAGACCAAAAAAAAAAAAAGAAAAAAAGAAAAA
rnacentral:lncRNA from 1 species